AAUGCUGUCUCUUUCUUACACUCCUCCUCUAAAGGAGCUGCCGUGCCUAAGACGAAGAGAGGCAUCCAUUACAGUCACAGAGCAUAGGACUGAGAGCUGCUAAAGGUGGCUACACGGUUUACGUGCGUAGAUCUACGCGCAGGCCUGUUAGUGGGUGGAUUUUUUUUGAGCAGCCAACUCUUUUCGUUGCGUUCCAGCCAGAGAGGAAGUCCACCUUGUGUAGUGUUUAUCCACUAGGGGGCUUGGGGAGCUAGAGUAGCUUACCAAGCAAUAGGGGUCGAGGCACUCUUUUUGACUAGCUAGCGACAACAUUUGAACUUCCGGAUCCGGUACUAUAUGCCUGUUUACAAAUACUAGCUAGCUAGCAAGCUACAUGUUAGGCUAAUCUGGUGUUCUAUCUUUUACGACGCGACUUCUUAGCCACAGAAACAGAAGCAAACAUGUCUGUCUAUGAACUGCAAUUGCUAGAGUUUGAACUGCUCUUACUACUAAGGAGGAGAAGAAAAACACCCCAGAGAAAAUGGCGAGUUCGUCCACUGAACACUACAGAGGGGACGAUGGGGGAAUACUCAUCUCUUGUCCAACCUAUGCGAAGCAUUGACUAGGAAAGACAUUUUAAAUACUUUCUUCAGCGGCUUGCCCCGCACAUCUCGCAGGAAAGAACUCACAGCUUGCCCGUAAUUGGUACAGGAAGGCUCUCUGUGACCCUUUGGUUUUUGGCGAGUGGCAGCACACAGCAAAGUUAUAAGCUAGGAAUCUCAACAAUUUGUGCCAUCGUCAUGAAAUUGUGCCAAGCUAUCUGGCAUGUCCUGAAGAGGGAUUUUGUUGCUUAUCCCUCCGUGGAAAAUGGGCUUCACCAUGAUUGACGUGGGCACAUAGUCAGGAAGGAGAUGCAGGAAUCUUCUCAUGAAGCAAGUUCUGCUACCAAUUCAUAGCAGGCCAGCUGCCGCUACCAAGGCCAGAGUGCUUGCCCAAACACCGAGCCUGUCUUUGUGGGAGACGAGGCAUUCCAUCUGAUGGUAAACCUGAUGCGACCAUAUCCAGAAGAUCUACAACUACCACCACUCAAGAGCCAGAAGAAUUUCAGAGCUCUGCUUUGGGAUCCUUCCUACAAGAUGGAGGAUCCUGGGAGAAGCCCUUGAGGUUGCCCCAGAGAAACCUGAGACUAUUAUGAAGGCCUGUGUGGCCAUCUAUAAUUAAAUUUCCACUACAAACACUGACAACAGAGUCAUCAACCCCACGUUUGUUGUCCACUCCACACCCACUGGGGACCUGCAUCCAGAAGAGUGGAGACAGGUGGUACAAGUGGACAUUAGUUUCCUGGUCCCAAGAAACAUGUCGGCAGACAGGGAAACCAGAGUUGCUAUAUACGUGCGCAACAACCUCAAGGACUACUUCCUCACACCAGCUGGUCAAGUGUCUUUCCAGGAUGCUGCCAUGACGCGUUGCACCUAACAGUAAAUUCUGGAGUGUGGUUUGGAAAACAUGUACACAUACAGUGCAUUCGGAAAGUAUUCAGACCCCUUGACUUUUUUCACAUUUUGUUAUGUUACAGCCUUAUUCUAAAACGGAUUACAUUUAAACAAAUGUACAAAUCCUCAAUCCUCAUCAAUCUACACAAUACCCCAUAAUGACAAAGUGAAAACAUACUUUUAGAAAUGUUUGCAAGUGUAUAAAACUUUUAAAACAGAAAUAUCUUAUUUACAUACAGUUGAAGUCUGAAGUUUAUAUACAUCUUAGCCAAUUACAUUUAAAUUCAAUUUUUCACAAUUCCUGACAUUUAAUCCAAGUAAAAAUUCCCUGUCUAAGGUCAGUUAGGAUCACAACAUUAUUUUAAGAAUGUGAAAUAUCAGAAUAAUAGUAGAGAAUUAUUUAUUUCAGCUUUUAUUUCUUUCAUCACAUUCCCAGUGGGUCAGAAGUUUACAUACACUCAAUUAGUAUUUGGUAGCAUUGCCUUUAAAUCGUUUAACUUGGGCCAAACGUUUCAGGUAGCCUUCCACAAGCUUCCCACAAUAAGUUGGGUGAAUUUUGGCCCAUUCCUCCUGACAGAGCGUGUAUAACUGAGUCAGGUUUGUAGGGUUCCUUGCCCGCACACGCUUUUUCAGUUCUGCCCACACAUUUUCUAUAGGAUUUAGGUCAGGGCUUUGUGAUGGCCACUCCAAUACCUUGACUUUGUUGUCCUUAAGCCAUUCUGCCACAACUUUGGAAGUAUGCUUUGGGUCAUUGUCCAUUUGGAAGACCCAUUCGCGAGCAAGCUUUAACUUCCUGACUGAUGUCUUGAGAUGUUGCUUCAAAAUAUCCACAUAAUUUCCCUCCAUCAUGAUGCCAUCUUUUUUGUGAAGUGCACCAGUCCCUCCUGCAGCAAAGCACCCCCCACAACAUGAUACUGCCACCCCCAUGCUUCAAGGUUGGAAUGGUGUUCUUCGGCUUGCAAGCAUCCCCCUUUUUCGUCCAAACAUAACGAUGAUCAUUAUGGCCAAACAGUUCUAUUUUUGUACGAUCUUGGUCCCCAUGUGCAGUUGCAAACCGUAGUCUGGCUUUUUUUAUGGCGGUUUCGGAGCUGUGGCUUCUUCCUUGCCUUUCAGGUCAUGUCGAUAUAGGACUCGUUUUACUGUGGAUAAAGAUACGUUUGUACCCUUUUCUUCCAGCAUCUUCACAAGGUCCUUUGCUGUUCUGGGAUUGAUUUGCACUUUUCGCACCAUCUCUAGAAGACAGAACGCGGCUCCUUGCUGAGCGGUAUGAUAGCUGCGUGGUUCCAUGGUGUUUAUACUUGCGUACUGUUGUUUGUACAGAUGAACGUUGUACCUUCAGGCAUUUGGAAAUUGCUCCCAAGGAUGAACCAGACUUGUGGAGGUCUACAAUUUUUUUUCUGAGGUCUUGGCUGAUUUUAUUUCCCCAUGAUGUCAAGCAAAGAGGCACUGAGUUUGAAGUUAGGCCUUGAAAUACAUCCACAGGUACACCUCCAAUUGACUUAAAUGAUGUCAAUUAGCCUAUCAAAAGCUUCUAAAGCCAUAACACCAUUUUCUGGAAUUUUACAAGCUGUUUAAAGGCACAGUCAACUUCUGACACACUGGAAUUGUGAUACAGUGAUUUAUAAGUGAAAUAAUCUGUCUGUAAACAAUUGUUGGAAAAAUUCCUUGUGUCAUGCACAAAGUAGAUGUCCCAACCGACAGUUUGUUAACAAGAAAUUUGUGGAGUGGUUGAAAAACAAGUUUUAAUGACUCCAACCUAAGUGUAUGUAAACUUCCGACUUCAACUGUAAGCAUUCAGACUCAAAAUUGAGCUCAGGUGCAUUCUGUAUCCAUUGAUCAUCCUUGAGAUAGCAUUUCUACAACUUGAUUGGAGUCCACCUGUGGUAAAUUCAAUUGACUGGACAUGAUUUGGAAAGACACACACCUGUCUACAUAAGGUCCCACAGUUGACAGUGCAUAUCAGAGCAAAAACCAAGCCAUGAGGUCGAAGGAAUUGUCCGUAGAGCUCAGAGACAGGAUUGUGUCGAGGCACAGAUCUGGGGAAAGGUACUAAAAAAUGUCUGCUGCUUUGGAAGUCCCCAAGAACACAGAGGCCUCCAUCAUUCUUAAAUGGAAGAAAUUUUGAACCACUAAGACUCUUCCUAGAGCUGGCAGCCCAGACAAACUGAGCAAUUGGGGAGAAGGGCCAGAGAGGUGAUCAAGAACCCAAUGGUCACUCUGACAGAGCUCCAGAGUUCCUCUGUGGAGAUGAGAGAACCUUCCAGAAGGACAACCAUCUUUGCAGCACUCCACCAAAUCAGGCCUUUAUGGUAGAGUGGCAAGUAAAAAGCACAUGACAGCCCACUUGGAGUAAACCUGGCACCAUCCAGGGACUGGGAGACUAGUUAGGCUCGAAGGAAAGAUGAACAGAGCAAAGUAAUUGAGCUCAGAUUCAUUCUGUUUCCAUUGAUCAAAGGCAAACCUGGAUCAGUCUGCUUUCCACCAGACACUGGUAGACGAAUUCCCCUUUCAGCAGGACAAUAACCUAAAACACAGGGCCAAAUCUCCAAGUUGCUUACCAAGAAGACAGCGAAUGUCCUUGAGUGGCUGAGCUACAGUUUUGAAUUAAAUCUACUUGAAAAUAUAUGGCAAGACCUGAAAAUGGUUGUCUAGCAAUGAUCACCAACCAAUUUCACAGAGCUUGAAGUUGUUUUGAAAAUAAUAAAAUGGGUAAAUGUUGCACAAUCCAGUUGUGGAAAGCUCUUAAAGACUUACCCAGAAGAACAGCUGUAAUCACUGCCAAAGGUGUUUCUACAAAAUAUUGACUCAGGUGUGAAUACUUAUUUAAAUGACAUUUCUGUAUUUCAUUUUCAAUAAAUUUGCAAAAAUGUCUAAACCUGUUUUCACUUUGUCGUUAUGGGUUGUUGUGUGUAGAUGGGUGAGAUUUUUUUUUUGUAUUUAAUCCAUUUUGAAUUCAAGCUUUAACACAACAAAAUGUGGAACAGGUCAAGGGGUAUGAAUACUUUCUAAAGGCACUGUAGUGUAUUAUUAUUAAAUAUUUUUUCCAGUGCCUGUCGCUCAAAGGGAGAUUUCCUUCUUGGAGGACAUUACUCUCCUCAUCCAGCCAUUUCAAAAUGUCUUCCUAUAGUAUACUGUAGUAUACUGUUUUGCCAAAACGGUGCUCUGUGGAGUGAUAUUCAGCCAGACAUACAAUUCAGUGCAGGUCUCUCCAUCUAAGGUCAAAAACAUUUGACAAAUAGUGCUGUAUAACCGAAAGAUGUAAUGGCUUGUCAUGUCAACCAUCCUAGUCAAUACCACACAUCACAUUCAUUACUCUACAAUUUUGGAAAAGAGAAAGAAAGUGUGAGAUGAUCAAAAUGUGGAACAUAGACAGCGCCCCAUUUUAUGAAACCCCUAUUCUGAACUAUGUUCUGUACUCUUGAGAAUACACUUGUUGUACGUUUGGUGAGUGAAAGCCAGGAUGUUGGGCGUGCCCCCCCAUUGAUGGCCUAAAAUAGUAAUGUGCAGCUCUGCAAAGUAGAAUCCUCUCGCUCAUUCAUUAGCUGCUGUCACCUGCGUUUAUGUUAAAGAGCAAUACCUCUCCAAGCAGAUUCCAUUUAGUCCACACAAGAAGACGCAACGUGUUUUAAAGUCGUCCAUUUUCUGAAGGCUCACAAUGACCUCACUGACUUAGGCAAGACAUCACUUAGCUAUUUGUAAUGUGCUAUAGGUAGAGAAAGGCCAAUUGUAAAUGCUUAAUGGUAUUGUUUCUAAGAGCAUUGUCAAAGAUAACAGAUCAUUGUAACAUUAAUCAGAGGUAGACCCUUUAAAAUGAGAAAGAAAAAAAUACAAAACGAAGUUGAGAAACCAGCUGUAAAAACAUAGUUGAAACAGACAAGGCCAGAAAAAAAAACUUAAUGAGAGUUGGAGAAUUUUUUUAAUGACUUGUCAGGGGCUUUCACCAUAACAUAUAACCUGCGACUUGGUUUGGGGAUCCAGUUCAAAUAAACCAUUACACCACCAUUCUUGUGCUCCAGGCUCUGGGCUGUAUUUAAUGGAGCAUCCUGACAAAAAUAACCAAUAUCUAAACAUUGGCUACAUGGCAUUUUACCUAAGAAUGGUUUCAGCUCUUUUGUCUGUUCGGUUAGCUUUGGAUUUUCUUUUUAGUUUCACAUUCAACAAUUGAUUUCACUCCACAUACUCAGAGCUUCAGUGCCUACACUUUGACAGUCUAUAUAACAUCACUGUCUGUAGGGCCCCAGAGAUGUUGAAAAAAAGCAUAGCUUAAUCCAAAAUAGAUGCCUUUCCUGACAUGCAAAACAUUUUUCAAACUCUACGCUUCCUCUCUCCAGUUUCUACAGCAGGAGUAGAAUCAGAUCCAUUUGGCUCUGAGCGGUUACUGUUUCAGUAUGAAUAUACUGUAAAUGAGAAAAAAGCAUGAUGCUAUCUGAACUCAGUCCAACUUCAGCCUUAUGUUGGACUAGUUUUCAUGAGGAAAAGUCUGCAAACCAGAUAGGGCCCAUUCACAGACAAUGUGUUUCUUCUAUCCCAAGAAUUUACUGCAUGCUGCUCUCAUUUUAUAGAUCCCUUAAUUCUGUUUGGUCUUGAAAUAUAACUCAAUAGGCAAUACCAUCAGAGACCAAUGUAAAUGUUUAAUAUUCAGCCAUUUCAAAAUAUAUAAUUAGCAACAUCCUGACAAAUAAACUUUAUUUUAUUUUAUUUAUUUAUUUAAAAAAAAAAUUAUCCCCUUUUCUCCCCAAUUUUCGUGGUAUCCAAUCGCUAGUAAUUACUAUCUUGUCUCAUCGCUACAACUCCCGUACGGGCUCGGGAGAGACGAAGGUCGAAAGCCAUGCGUCCCCCGAGGCACAACCCAACCAAGCCGCACUGCUUCUUUAACACAGCGUGCCUCCAACCCGGAAGCCAGCCGCACCAAUGUGUCGGAGGAAACACCGUGCACCUGGCCCCCUUGGUUAGCGCGCACUGCGCCCAGCCCGCCACAGGAGUCGCUGGAGCGCGAUGAGACAAGGAAAUCCCUACCGGCCAAACCCUCCCUAACCCGGACGACGCUAGCCCAAUUGUGCGUCGCCCCACGGACCUCCCGGUCGCGGCCGGCUGCGACAGAGCCUGGGGGCGAACCCAGAGACUCUGGUGGCGCAGUUAGCACUGCGAUGCAGUGCCCUAGACCACUGCGCCACCCGGGAGGCCCCUUACAAAUAAACUUUCUGAAGAAUGCUGUGGGAUUGCACUGCUCAACCCUUGGUACCAUCUCCAGUCAAUCAUCAGCAAUGACAGUAAGACAUGUUACCAAGACAUUCCUUAGCACAAUAAUUAUGGAUACAUCUAUCACCAGCCAUUUACACUGUCAGCCAUUUCUGAGUCAGUUUAAUUUACAGAAUGAAACAUGACUGAACUAUCUCAUGUAAUCUGGUAAACAACACAAAAGCAUUCAGACAAUAGUCCAAUCAAAUUCUGAUAUUACAUACUUAUAUUACAUACUUUACGCCCCUCUCUAAUUACUUGCACAUUGAUGAAUAUCACCUGUGUGCAUAAAUGAAAGCGAAACAUUGACCUAUUUUCAUCCAGUUUAGCCAUGGCUUGGCACUGCCCCUUCUCUGUGAACUUGAGCAUGGAACAAAGCAGGGAGUAAAUUGCUGCCAGGCUGUGGGGAUUAGGCACGGCACAAGCUACAGUCCCUCUAAUAAAAACACUCCACACUGUUAAUGUAACACAUUUGGAGGGUCACAGUUCCCUGGUGUGGGUGCUUGGGAUUGCUGGAUGUCUACGAGCCUCUAAGCACCUACAGGGGCCCUUCAGAGGUUCUCUGGAUAUUAAUGACAUACUCCCUUGUGUAAGAGAUCAGACGUCAAAACUAUUACCAGGUGCAGCUGGCCUCCAUACACGAGUGAGCAGGAUUGGCAGAGAUGAGUGGGCAAGAUCUCCACUUCUAUAUUAUAACACCAACAAAUGGCUUUUUCUCUAGGCUUCCACUCUUACCUUUGGAUGGACCUAGUCAAGACUAGAGAAAAGUGAGCGUGUGAGUGAGUAUGAGCAAGUGAAUGAGUGUGUGAGAGAGAGGAGGAUGUGGUGGUUCAUAAAUAUUAGGGCUGUCAAGUGAUAUUUUGUUAAUCGUUAAUCGCAGGAUUUGCUGUGAUUAAUCGCAAAUUCAGAAUUUUCUAAAUUUGAGCUGUAAUGUAAGAUUUUGUAUACAAAAAGCAUUACAAGAAUAUUAACAUCUUGAUUUUGUCCAAAGUAGCAGUUUGCAAAAUCAGGUAAAUUGAUAAACAACUCUUUCUUUAGCCUCAAUGUCAACUUGUUUUGACAUCGCAUUGUUGUUUUUACAGUACAUGUAUAGAUUAUGUAUUGUGGACGUUUUCUGUGUAUUUUAAACACUUUCAGACAAUGCAGUUAAUCACAAAAAAUGUGUUCACUAAAAUUACAAAAAGUAACUCGAGUUAACUGAUUAAUCCGAAAGCCCUAAUAAAUAAAGUGUCUUCAGAAAGUA